rnacentral:lncRNA from 1 species
AACAAAGCCACGCCGAAUAAAGCACGUGCUAACUAACCUUUCUGGUGUUGGAAUCAACUCCUGAAGGUAAACGAAGCCACGCCGAAUAAAGCAAAGACUCAUAAACUGUAACAUGCGGUGAAUGGAUAUCAUUCUGCUCACAGUAGCCAGAAAUUCUAGCAAAUGUUUCUUGCUUUUUAGGGUACCCAGAAACCUUGAUGUCUCCAUCAAUAUAUCCACCUGUUUUCCUACCAGCCAGAACAUCCAUCAGAGUUGUUUUACCAGCUCCACUUACACCCAUCAAAGCUGUGAGAACACCGGGCCUGAAUGCACCACUAACACCCUUCAAAAGCACUAAUCUGUCUUCUCUAACACCUUGCUCCUUCAUUUCCUGCCAGUUGAAAUAAAAGUCAUGUGAGAAAAGUUAUUAUUGUUUGAGAAAAUAUGAAUUGUUAAAGAUAUCUAAAAGCCGAACGUAUCAGUUUGUGCGAAUCUUACCACUGGCAUAUCAACAGAGUAUACAAUAUCAUCAAAAGUGAUAGAAUGUGGUUCAAAUGGAAGAACCAUUCCCUUUUUCUUUCCAUGGCUGGACUCUGUAACAGAAUCAGCUCUUCCUGAACUUUCUGAAAGACAAUAAGAAAAAUGUUCAGCUACUAAACUAUAUGAUAAACUACAAUAUGUUUGCCUUCAUGAGUGAUAUCUGAUAUGCAUAUAAUCAGGAAAGCUCACCAAUACGUGGUAAUUCAACUUCUUGUACGGUAGAUGAAUCAUCUUCUGAAUCUUCAGUUAUUGUUGCACUAGGCUUAUCAAAUGGGCCUAGUACAGCGAGAGCCACACCAAACGCCACGUUGAAAAGAAAGACAAAUCCAACCAAUCCCCCAACGCCUAUCCAAUACCAAUAUGCAUGUGGGAAGAACCCUCGGGUAUCGAGAUAAUCUUUUCCCAAAUCAGCAGUAGCCUAUAAUUAAGUAUAUAAAAUAAAUUAGGCUUGCAAAUUUCUCAAACAAAAGUAGAUGAAUUAUGAAGUUGCAAGCAAGCUCAAGUAAUUAAUUACAUUGUGCCAACUGUGCCCAAGAAAUUCAUUGGCCAUCAAAGCAUUCUGCCCAUACAUCAAAGGUGAGAUCCAGUAACCCCAAAUCCACCAGCCUUUGAUAUCCUCUGUUACAAUAGCAAUAAAAUGUAAGAAACAUUAAUUAGCUAAGGUUUCAUUUCCUUACAAAAAAUUAAAUUUAAUAAGAUUUUUAUCAUUUUUUGUUAAAAUUAAAUGUGUUAGUCAAUUUAACUUACUUCUUGAGAGAAUGAAGCCACCCAAUGACAGAAAUGUGAGAAGUGCAAAGGACCCAAAUGUAUUGGCAACAAUCAUGUUUCUACCCAGGGAUGCGAUGGCUCGGAACAAUCCUGAAGCCAUCUGACUCAUGAAAAACAACACAACGAACUGCUUGAACAUCCUGCCAAAAAUUCAAGACCUCACAUCAUAAGUAACACACAAAUGCAAACUAGAUAGUAGAAGUGACGUUCAAUACUACAUUCUCCAAACAGAAUAAAAGAAACUUCUUUUACCUUCCAACAUUUGGAUCAAAUCCAAUAACAUAGUAGGUAAGAAACACCCAAAGAGAAACUUCCAUUAAUGAAACGGGAAUCUUGAGAAUCCACGAAGGAAUAGCAUAUGCCCAUGAGGGAUAAAAUAGAAGGUCUCGUUGCUUGUAGUAAACAGGAAGCUUAGCAAUGGUCAUAGAAAUCUCAGACAUUCCAUUAAACAUCAUCGUUACUAGUGUGAAAAACAAAGCACCGGCAUAAACACCCGCAUCAUCCUGAUCAUUGCGAUGCAUCUCAGUCCGAAAAAACAGUGUCAUUGCUAUCAAUGCCAUGAUGAAAAGCUGAAAAACAAAGCAUGAAGAGUAAACAGUUAUGUCACAGAAAAUCAUGGUCAUGAAUGUAUAAAUGAAAAAGAAUUUCUAUUUCACUUAUAUAAAAGAGCGGGAUAGAUUCCAAACCUGAGUUAGCUUGAAGAUGUAAACAAACGAAUUCCUUUUCAUGAGCAAAUACUCUCUUGAGAAGUUAGCCUUUAAAAGCUCCGUCUUGUUGAGACCAUACUCUUUGGUGGUCAAAGCAGCUGGAUGGCUCUUCGUCUUGUCAAAUGGUACGGAAAGCUCCUCAGCAAGUUUCCUACCAAUAUGGAAGGAUUGAAACGCCUCAGCGAAUUGAGUAACAGUUACAAAUCUGUAUGGUUGAUCUCUGCGCACCCAGUACUGUGCUUGAUCCUUUUUGGAAGUUACUUCUUGAAGAAAGUCAGCAGCACCUUUCCUUUCAGGACAUUUGAAACCCAUUGUUUCAAAAAAGUCAAGAACAUAUUCGCGGGGGCCAUGGUAUACAACUUGGCCAUCAGAAAUUAAGAUAAUGUCAUCAAAAAGAUCAUAAGUCUCAGGUGCUGGUUGGAGCAGUGAUAUAACUGCAGUGCCAUUCAUAAUGUGAACAUAUUGUCUCAGAGAGCUCACAAUCUGAAAAGUAGUGGAACUGUCCAGCCCAGUAGAAAUUUCAUCCAUGAACAAUGCAUUGGCUGGUCCAACCAACAUCUCUCCUGUAGUUACACGCUUCCUCUGUCCUCCAGAGAUACCACGUAACAUUUCAUCUCCCACCAUGGUAUCCGCGCAUAUAUCCAACCCCAAAAUCUACAAAAUUAUACAAUAUAAAACUUAAUACCGUUGGCUUGUAAAAAAUUCAACAUACAACAUGAAACAUAACUUUAUUAUGGCAUGCAAGACAUGAUAAAGCCCAUGCAAGGACAAUGUAAAUUGGGAGUAACCAAUAAAAAAUGCAAUGAGUUUAAUUUUGAUACAUUGUCAAUUAAAAAGUUUUAUACUGUCAACUAAUCACUUUAUUAGUACUUAUGAAUAAAGUCGGACGUUUUUAUUGAACUGGCGAUUAUGAGAGGCUAAGUAUAAUAAUUGAACUAUAUUUAAGUCUUACCUUGAGUACAUAAUCUGUUGAAAUGCUAUACUCCUGACCUUCAGUUGCAAUUGCCUGUUAUAUCAAAAUAAAAUUAGAGAUGCAAAGAUAGUAUAGUAUAUCAAUUACUAUACCAUUACCGAUAUUGAUUGAUAAUAGCUUAUUUAAUGCAUACCUUCAUGUAGACAUCAAUAUCUGGGUCAGGCUUAAUGUUUGCUGCCUUCUCUCUUCUAGAAAGCUCGGAUAGCAUGUCUGUUGGAUCCCAAAAAUAAUUAACAAGUUAAGCUUUAGCCACAUUUCAAAUUAGAUUUUAAAAAACAUUAACUAGGUAGUAAAAAUAGACUAACCAUAACGUGAUCCAACUCCUUGGCACCUUGCUGAGAAAGCCAAGGUUUCCCUCACAGUCAUUUCUCCAAUAUGAACAUCAUGUUGGCUUAUAUAGGCAGCAGUUCUUUGAGGUACAAACUCAUUCAGUCCAUGGCCAUUGUAAGUCACACUCCCAGUUAGCUGUACAAAUUAAGCAUUCGGCAUCCAAGUUAGAUAAUUUUAGAUAUAAAGUUUACCACCUUUGAUCUACAAGUGAGUUAUAUGAUUUUAUUUACCUGGAGACUUGGAUCAAGCUUUCCAGAUAAGGCUAAAAGAAGUGUGGUCUUUCCUGAACCAGGAGGACCUAAAAGUAGUGUCAUCCUACGAGGUUUAACGAUUCCGCUAACAUCUUUAAGAAUUGACACAUGCCUCUUUUUGGUUGGGAUGAUAUGAAGAAAAUUCAAUACCCCCUGAAAAAAAAAGAUAUAUAUAUAUAUAUAUAUAUAUUUUUAUUUGGGAGACUCAACUGCAAAAAUAAAAAAAAUAGAAAUAGAAAAAGCCUUCAGCAUCAAUUUUCAGGUUCUGAUAUCUAUCCCUACCUCUACAACAUUAGUAGCAGCAUUAAUGAAACUAGGCAAAGCUCUACUUCCCACAAACGCUUCAGCAUCAAUUUUCAGGUUCUGGUAUCGAACUUCAAUUGUUGGAAUAUCAAGUCCAACUCUAUAAUGAGAAGAAAAAACACAAAACAUGUUGAGUUAUGAGAGAAAUAAGAUCAAAAGAAAACAAUGAAGCAAAAAAAGUACAUUUUCUAUAAUAGUUACCUAUCAACUCUUUCCUUGACCUUCAACAGAAACCUUUCAUUAUCCUCUUCAGCAACCUUAACCAACCUCUCCAAAAGUUUCUGCUUUUCUUGAAAAGCAAGAUCACCAACAUCAACUUCAUGAGCACCUCCAUGAGAAGCUGUCAACAAACCUUUUCUUAGACGAUUAUAAGUAGGUAGCUUUUCAAGUGCAGCCCAUUUGAGAGCUUCUUCAUCAUCUUCUUCUCGAGAUGAUUUAGAGAAAACCUCAACUCCACUCUGUCUCCAAACAGUUGAACUUCUUGCUCUUAAACUAUUAGUAGCUCUGUAUAUAUCAGUCCCUUCCAUUUUUGCUGUUAUGAAACAGCUUUAACACAAGCUUGUGUGUUUCUGAUUUUUCUUUUUAAGACAAUGUUAUUAUGAAUUGAACCCAAACAAUAAACUAAAUGAAGUGUAGAAUAUAAUGAAAGAAUGAAAGAAUGAUGAAUGGAAAAAAACUUGUUGUAUUGAUGUUUCUUUGUGGAAAAGGAAAUGAAUAUGGAAUGAGAAAACAUGUUUGUAUAUAUACUACCUUUGAUUCCAAAGAAGUGGCGGCAAUGGAGAGUCAAACGUUGAAAUUUACGUGUUUUUUAGAAGGGACAGGAGAGAAAUAUAUGUCAAAUGGUCAAAUAAUGAAGGAGGACUAGACUAGGCAUCUUGGUUGGUCAUCAUGAGGAAACUUCGUCCUACAUGACAUGUUAAGGUGUCUAACUUGUUGUGGGCCCUAUUCAGAGUAAAGUGCACGGCCUUCUCGAACAAAGUAGGUUCUAAACAUUAAAUCAAACUAUUAUGUGAUCACAUUCUUCAAAAUCAAUUCAUAAAACAUCUGCAAUAUCUAUUUUACAUUAAUGAUUACAUGCAUUUUUUUUUGGUAGAAAAGUUUUAUACUUUCGCUACAUAAAAAUUAAUCUUUGCAAAUAAUUCAAAAAAUGAAAUCAGGGCAAUAUAUUUUUCAUAGAUAUUAUAGGACUAAAACAAGUCGGCUUAAGCCAUAUUAUACAACGAAAAAUAAUAGAGAAAUAAAUACUACUAAUAAGAAUCAAAUCAAAGAAAAAACAAGAGAAUACCAUUCCAAUAAAAAAAACGGUAGUUAGGAAUCAACUAUAAUUAUCUCAGCAGCGACGUCAUUUCUUUUCAUGUUUCAAAAAACAUAAUGUUUGAAAAGUUGGAAUUUCACAUGUUUACUGUUUUAUAGUCCUCACUUCCAAAAUAUUGACAACUAGAACAAUCAUAACCUUGACAUUUAACUCGUGUAUAUUUUUUUUGCUCCAAACAUAACUUUUUUUUUCCAACCAAGUUUAACGGUUUUUUCUUGUGUGUAAAGUUUCACGGUUUUAUUGACCGAAAAAAAAAAAAAUCAGUAAUUUGAUCAUUUAUUUUGAUGGUCUAUUUAUAGACAAAAUACACUAUUAGAAGUGUGCUUAUGGUAAAUCACCCUUUUAUUAAUAAUAGUUUAGUAAAAGUGUUAUAUCUAAUGAUUAUUUCAUUCCAUUUUUUAAUCCGUGUGCAAAUUGGCUAAAGCGACAUUCAUUUUAAAACGGAGGGAGUAAUAUUUUUACGGGAGAGAGAGAGAGAGAAAAAAAAAAAUUAGUUGAAUUGACGUAUGUAUCACAGUUGCGUUGACCAAUGUCAUGUAACAUUCAUGCAUUUAUGGUACACAAAUGGAAUCCGUCGGUUAUAGAGUAAAUAAGAAAAUUCAUUUGAAAUUCCAAAAAAGGAAAAAAAAAAUCUUUCUUGAAAUCGUUAGAUGUUAAGCAACUUGUCUUCCGUAAGUUUUUUCUAUAUGUACGUGAAAGUUUAUUGUCUACGUGAUAUGACAUGUCAUGUCAGUCACAUUGGCAAUUUGAUUAGUUUUUUUUUUUUUAAUUUGAUUUUUUUUUAAAGAUUACGAGCAAAUUCUCUCUUGAAAUGGUAUACUUAUAUGCAAAAUUUGUCCUUUUGGUGACUCGAUUCGACUUGAGUGUAGAACUAAAAAAAUACAACUCUCUCCACGUAAAAGACCUCUCGUUCUUUCGGUAAAUGAUAAAAAAAGAAACUCACUCUAAAACUUUUUUUUCUUAACAUAGUUAGCUUGAUUGAUAUUUCAUUACUUUGUUUUCCCUGUAAAUUGAUAAUCAUCUUUGAAACAUGUCAGAUAUUAAAUAUGAAUAUCUCUCUUAUUUUAUAUUUAAACUUUGGUUCACUAUGUUGUAAAAGUCUAACUUCUCCACUAAAUCCAACCCACUCAUUCAAUAUAGUUACUCUAAUGCUUAACAUCACUAUGAGAAAUCACAUUCAAAAGCAUUUGUAUAAUUUCAAUAUUUGCUGCUUAUACCGCCAAAAUAUUUGUUUACUUUAAAAAAAUAUGUUGAUAGAUUUUAAUUGGUGGCUGAUGUAUGAUACAAUUCUUAGAAUGAAUCAAUGUUUGGUAUGUAUCAUAAGUUUAAGAUAACAAAAUCCUCUAAAUUAACAAAUUACCCUAUGAAAUUGAAGUUUGUUAAUCUAUUUAGCCUCUCUUAGGAUCAAUUUCGAAGAAUCUAAAUGACAAAAUCCUUUACUCUUUAAUCUUAUUAGGUUUGCAACAACUAAACCUAGAAAAUUCCCUCCAAAUGAUUCACAUUAAUUGCUAAGUGCUAACCCUAAUUAUGUAUUUUCUUCCAACACUUCUUCAAUUUGAAAUUCAAAAAAUUUUGUUAGGAACCAUGAACUGCAUUAAAUUACAUUUAUUGCUAUAUCCCUUGAAAAAUACGGAGCUCUUCAACCGAGCGCACAUCUUCAAAAUAAUUAAUACACUGUAUAAGAUCUCUUCUAUUAUUAAAUUCUAUGAUAUAUGCAGAUAUGAUAUGUAUUUGGUUGGAAAAAUAUAUUAUUACUUUUAGUAAAUAUCAAAGUGUAAUUAUUCCUUUUAGAGCUGUAUGUGUAGUUUAGAAAUUCUAUUAAUUGAAGUGACUUUGUUUUUCAUGUUAGUAGAAAUUUAAAACAAUUAUUACAUGUCAAUUUUUUGUUUAACUAUAAAAGUAAUAAAAUAAAUAAAAUUGACCCGUGCAACAAUAUAAUAUUGUAUCUUUUUUAUUUAUAAUUUAAAAAAUAACGUGAAGAUAAUGCCCCAAUAAUAUAUUGUGAUAAAAUAAAAUAACAGUCUUUAAUUAAUUAGCUUUUCAGAACUAAGAUGUAAAAUUUGAUAAGAUUCAAGUGUCAUUGAAGGACAUAGUAAGAAAAAUUUGAUUGUAAUAUUGUAUCUCUAAUAAUCUAAUUUGCGUUUAUUGAUCGAUAUCUUACGGGUUAAAGAUUAUUCAUUUGUCUCUAUUAUAGCCGACAAGACCCGUGCGUCGCACGGGUCAAAAGUCUAGUAAAUAUAAAUGAAAGUACUUAUAAAAUUUCUUGAAAUAAUAUAGUACUUUAAUUGAAGAUGUCCUUAACAUGUUAACUAAAUGAAAGUACAUUAUAAACCAAUCAUAAAUUGUUAUAUCGUUAAGUUUGAUUUUAGUCAAAACUACCUUAGAAUCAUGCAUUAUAUGAUUUAUACUGUUUUUAAGGGAUUUACAAUUAUUAGUUGACUAUGAAAGAAAAUUUACACAAAGCACAAUUUAUCAAAAAAAAAAAAAAUUUGAGAAAGAAGCACAGAGUAUCAAAAUUAAACUCUAAAUAUUUGUACCAAAAAGAAAAAAACUCUAUAAAUAUAACAUUUUGUCUCCUUAAAAAAAACAUUGUCAAAAGAAGAAUGCUAGCAACACUAUUUUUUUAGCACUCUAUUUAAUACUUACUUUAUCAUUGGAUGAAAUCAAUGUGGACUCCACUAUUUAUAUGGAAUCCAUUUCCAAAAUGUAGGAUCACAUUGAUUUCAUAUAAUGAAUUGUGAAUAUGGGGUGGCUUUAUGCUAAGUUACAAUAACAUUUCUUUGUUAGAAUAACAUCUUAGAUAGAAAAUAAUCAAGAAGUGAAGAAACAAAGGGAUAUACAAACAAUAUUUGGUAACACCUUGUAAUUCCUUUUUUUUUUUUUAUUAUUUCCAGUUUAGGGUUUACAUACACCUUGUAUUUAAAUAGCACGGUUCACAUUAUAUUAUCCCCUUCCCACUUAAAACAAUUCGUUUCGCUUAACUAUGAGUCAUACAACUUUUGCAUAACAUAAUAAGACUAGUAAAGCAACAUGAAGAAAACCAAAAUGCGCCAGUCCAAAAGUUACACAGCUCUUCAUUACAAAACAAUUAUGUAUAUGCACCAAAUUUGAAGAGGCUGAAUUUAAUAUUCCAGCCUUGUCACACAGGACAUAUUUGACAGUUGAUGCAAAUAACUUCUUGUAUGCAAAUUCAGUAUUAAGUUGAACAAUAUCAAUUAUCAAAGGAACUUAGAAUUAAGAACUCAAAAAUGAGCAUAAAAGGCUGGUCUAAAAAAAUACACUAUCUUUCAUUGAUGAUCAAAAUGAUAAUACAAAAUUAUUGUCUUAUUCAAAUUCAAAUGCUUGUACAUUUAUAAAGGAAGCUUUAAAUUGUGUCAAACAAAGGGGAAAUAAAUUUCCUAAGAAACUAAGGCAUGGGAUAUAGAUACAGGUAUUAUACAAGCUAGGAAAAAUUGGGGAGGGAAAAUAAAAAAUAAAAAGAAUCUUUCUUGUUGGAGAAAGAGUGCAAACUAUCUCUUUUGGAAGUUAAAGGACUUGAUUGCAACAGCGAAAAUAAAGGCAAAGCCCACGGCAAUUCCACCGACCACAAGUGCACACCAUCCUAUGAAGUCGUGUUGGAUACCAAAAAAGUCGUCAAGGAAAGUCUUUACAUCUUUUCCGCCUUCGGUCGACAUAACAGUAGUUAUAUCUCCAAAUUGAGAUGCAACCAAUCCAUAGAUGGUCCAUGCAACUGGACAUGCCCAAUAGUACCAUCUCCACCAUAUUGGAAUGCUCUGUUAUCAAAAGGCAAGAAAAUGGUUAGGAUACAUAUAACAUACAUCCAUUGAAACAGUCUUUCACAAUGUACUAUAUACUAAUACUUACAGGUCUUGGGACGACAAAUCCUGAAAAGAGAUUCCAAAUUGCAUAAAAUGCAGCAGCCACAAUAGAAGCAACAUGGUGAUUUGGUGUCACUGCCACAGCCAUCAUACCAUAGAAGGUGAAGUAGAGCAAUGUGAAGUACAUGAAGAAUAGAUACCACAAGAAUUUCUCUGCAGUCCAGUCAAAUCCGAUCAUGGCAUAGACUAUAGCUCCAUAUGUCACGGCUUGGGCAAAGACAUAAGGCAACUCUACCAAAAUCUGUAAUAAAGAGGGAGUUGUUAAUAUGAGAAUUUUCAGUUUGCAAACUAAAUUAGUAGUAGUAGUAGUUGUAGUAGUAGUAGUAAUAGUUUUAGUAAUAGUUAUAAUAAUAGUAAUGUCAGUAGAUUAAACAAUGAUAAUAGUUACCUGUGAAAAUGCAUAGGGUAAGGCAGAGUACAUUCCAGCAGCUUUUUCUCUAUAAAAUACAGUUCUUUCCACUGCAACCACGGGCUGCACAGAAGAAGAAUUUUGUACUCCAAGGAAGAGGACAGCGGUAUACAUUGAACCAACAGCGUUCAGAAGGUCUUGUCUACUUGAGCUGCAAGUCACCAAAAGGAAUUAGUAUUCCAGCGUAGAUAAACAGAGGGAGAUGACAAAAUAUAAUAUUUUGUCAAUAUUAUGAACUUAUUUUUUAAUUAAAAGUAGUUUGUUUGACUUACUGUUUUCCACCGAGGUCCCAGAACAUUGUUCCAAACAUCAAGCCUAUGAAUGUAGUGAAGAAAAACCUCACAGCAGUGUAUGGUGGAUUACGCCAAUAUGACCAACGUUGUUUCCAUAAGCAGGCCUGGCAUUGGACCAAGAAAGACUGCGAGAAUUGAGUAGGGAAAUGAAGAUCCUUUGAACCAGGAGCAGGUACGCUAAGUUCUUGAAUAAGUUGCUUGUUUCUCCUGGAGAGCCAUACAAAAUAGUUUAAGCAGGUAGCAAAUAAGAAAAACAAACAUGACAACAAUAGCUUCUAUAGUUGAUUGAUUAAUAUCUGUAUGCAUUAGUUUACCUAUAUAGAUCAGAAUUUUUGUACAAGUCAGUGAAAUCAACGCCCAAAUUAAGUUCUUGUGCGGUAGUUGUAACUUCCAACAUCCAUGUUGCUGGGUUAUAUCCGUCUUUGAUUUUACUCACUCCGUCAAUGCUCUGCAACGAAAGUUAUUUGAAAAUUUCAGUAACUAAUUACAAUCAAGAAAUAGAGUCAUUCCCGUAAGGUAAUACUUCAUUUAAGUAGAGGAUCCUACCUCAAAAUACUUGAUCAAAUGAGUAGAAUGACGACCCAAUGGUCCAACAUAUAUUUCUUGUCCUCCACGUUUCAUAAGGAAUAGCUAGAAAUGCAUAUGUAUAAUAUGUCAGAUUCAAGUCUAAUGAAGAGGAAAAGAACUAAAAAAGGCAGAUUCAUUUGUCAUUAAUAUUUUUUAUGACCAUUCACUACAUACCUCAUCAAAUGCUUCAAAUAUGUCAAUGCUAGGCUGAUGGAUGGUACACACAACUGUUCUUCCUGUGUCCACUGUGUUCCUUACAGUUCUCAUAACAAUUGCAGCAGCUCUAGCAUCUAAACCAGAAGUAGGCUCAUCCAUAAAAAUUAUAGAUGGAUUAGCCACAAGUUCAACUGCAAUAGUCAGUCUCUUGCGCUGUUCAGUUGAGAGACCACUCACACCAGGCAAACCAACUAGAGAGUUCCUCAAUGAGUUCAGCUCCACUAGAUCCAUGACUUCGUCAAUAAACAUCUGCAACCAUUUGUAAUGUUCAUUAAGUAAGGUAAACGAAGGUAAACAAAGCCACGCCGAAUAAACCAUGUACUAACUAACCUUUCUGGUGUUGGAAUCAACUCCUGAAGGUAAACGAAGCCACGCUGAGUAAAGCAAAGACUCAUAAACUGUAACAUGAGGUGAAUGGAUAUCAUUCUGCUCACAGUAACCGGAGAUUCUAGCAAAUGUUUCUUGCUUUUUAGGAUACCCAGAAACCUUGAUGUCUCCAUCAAUAUAUC